rnacentral:rRNA from 1 species
UACGGAGGGUGCAAGCGUUGUCCGGAUUCAUUGGGUUUAAAGGGUGCGCAGGCGGGAAAUUAAGUCAGGGGUGAAAGACGGUUGCUCAACAAUCGCAGUGCCUUUGAUACUGGUUUUCUUGGGUGACCUUGAGGUAGGCGGAAUGGGUGGUGUAGCGGUGAAAUGCAUAGAUACCACCCAGAACUCCGAUUGCGAAGGCAGCCUACUGGAGGUUCACCGACGCUCAGGCACGAAAGCGUGGGGAUCAAACAGG